GCUUCUAAAGGAUAACAGACAUCCAUUGGUCUUAGGAACCAAAAACUCUUGGUGCAAGUCCAAGUAGUAGCU
rnacentral:tRNA from 1 species